rnacentral:lncRNA from 1 species
UAUAUAUGUUUUCUGUACAUGUGUGGAUAGAAAUGCACAGUGCAAGUGUAGGAAGUCCCUCACUCAGCUGGUAACUAUGAUAACCACUGAGGGCUCAGGACCAGAGAGGAGAUGAACUUGGCCUCAGGUCUUAUUCCACCUCAUAUAUUCUUUUAACCUUUCAUAAAUGUGCAAUAUUUUGGUACUAUUUGAAAUAAUCAAAAUUAUACUUAUGUAAUCUCUAGUUUGCUUCUAUUAUCUUCAUCCUCAUUUACUUAAAAACGUAUCCCAGCAAGGAAGAGCAAUUUGGAAAGGCAUUAAUUGGAGCCCUGUUUGUGUUCUUAUGUUCUGGGCUAUCGAGCGAGAAUGAGGAUUGUUUGUCAAAGCAGGACCAGCUGGGAUUCUCUGGCUGCCUCCCAGGCGCAACUGUGAAGACACGGAUCCUGGGUGCUCUCCCACCUCGUCAGGAGCAGCGCUUCUCCUGUCUGCUCUUGGCACCCCACAGCAUCCUGUGCCCUGCUAAGGUGUUAACUGACAACUGACAGAUUUGACUAAGAGCUUACUCUUCUCAGUAGUAUUUUCAUUUUAAAAGUUGACUUAAAAAAAAAAAAAACAACACUAAAAAGAUGGAAGAAAGAAAGAAAGAAAAAAAACACCCGUACUUCUGAGAUUCAUGGAAUAAAGUUUCUUCAUGAUAGCUCCCAAAAUGAUCACUAUUCUCUCAUCUUUGAAGCAAAUUAAGCAAAUGGUCUCUUGACCUCUGAAUUCACAUUAUCACUUUCCACUCCAAAUUUUCACUAGAAUAGUCUCUUCUAUUAGUCUCCCAACUACUACAACUGCAGUGUGAUCUGGCUUUCAUCUCUCCUGACACUGGGCUCUCAUCAUCAUUAAUAUCUAAUUGCCCAAUUAGGGGAUUUCUUUUCAAUUUACUUCAGUGCUCUCUAGGAGAGUGCAGUUGUGGCUUUGUCAUGGUCACUAGUUUGUCUGUUUGCCUGUCUCCCCACUUUGAGAGUGAGCUGCUUUCUGUCUGAAUCUCUGCUGCAUCCAUCUUCAUAACACUGUUGUCCUUGCUAGUGCUUAGCCCGUGAUAACCCUGGCCAUGGAGGUACUCCUUUUACAGACUGGAUGGUUGGGGAGGAGGCCCAGUGCUGAUCACAUAGUAGGAGUGAAUAAAAUACGUGCAGAAGCAUGACAGGCAGUGUGGGUGCUAGAUUGGGGGAGGAAUUUUGAGCAGGUUAAUUCCUUUAGCAGCUCUUCAAUAAUGCUACCUGUCCACUCUUCAGUUUUGCUCUGAUUAGAAGAAGUAGGAAGAUAUGAAGGUAUAAUUCGGCGUGAGGACUAGAAUGAUAUUUGAUUGAAAGAGAGGAAUGUCAUCUCCACCAUUACAUUGGGUAAAGCCUGGAAAUAAGAGAAGGAGAGAGUCAUUCUAAUAUUAGCACAAAUGGCUAAUUCCAGUGCCUAGGGUUUUAUCAUACAUUAUUCUUAUCCCUAACCCUCCAACGACUCAGGCCUGGCUCUUCCAUACUGCAAAUAUAUUUCAAUAUGUAAAGCCAUGGAAUUGAAGAUGGCCUUUAGUUACUUUUAAUGACAUGUGUAAGCAGGUCCUGAGUUCUGCUGAAGAGGUAGGUACAGGAUCUUGGCUUUGAAUGUGAGUUUUCAAAAUGCUGUAGUGAAAAAUAGCACUUUUUAACAUGACCCUACCUUGCAAAUAUCUUCUCUAUUUAUUGCCCUGAGGUCCUGUUGUUUGCAUUUUAUUAUGGUGCAGACCAUGUUUGGGGCUGGUGCUAGGAAGGGAUAAUGAGUGGAGAGGGAAAGGUCUGUAGACAGGUGACAAACAUGCUAAGAUGCACUUAGUGACUUUCCUUCCACUGAACACCUCAGAAGUUAAAAUAAUUGUUAAAUUUAGCCUGCUCUGACUAUAACAGAAAUACAACCAUUGUAAUAGAAACAUGUCAUAAGAUCAAUGUCUUCUACUUCUAAAUCAGACAUCUUUGCUGUGCCCCUGUGUUUGUUUUUGCUUUAGAAGCUGAGUCCACAAUUAUAUGAUGAUAAUGUAUUUUGAUUCUAUUUUUACCUUAAAACUGGUUUCCUCGGGGGCCUAUCCUUCUGGUAUGUUUGUUCAAUUGACAUGUUUAAAAAUCUUUGUAAGAGCUGUAUUGAAAUGACAGAUAUUUUAUAUCACCAAAAUAAACCACAACCUCCAAGGCUGAUGAUAAACUCCAGUCCUGGUCUCGGCUACUGUCUGCUUAAAGCUCUUAGCUGCUUUUCAGAUGUUGGCAUAGUUGUCAGUCAUUCUGUAUCAUGCUUAUAGUUUGUGUGAGAAAGCCAUUCAUUAAAUUGCAGCCUCCUAGACUCAAAGAACACUUGCUAAAUGCUUUCAGAUAGAAUGCCACCUUACUCUGUAAAAUAUGGGGAAUCUUGUAAGGAAAAGAGAUACCUGAGGGAAAGAGCAAAUUAUAGGAGAGAAAAGUAACAAAACACAUUUCUCCAUUCUCUAUUAAACUUUUGAUAAGAACAGAGAAUAACACUUAAUUCCUCUCUUUCCUAUGUGUGUUUUUGUUAUUUGACCAGUAAAGCUCCUUGAGAACAGGAAACAGAUACUACACUGGUGACCUUGAGAUUAUAAAGAAAUGACUACCCAGUUAUUACUUAACUGUGGUAAUUCCAGAUUUUCCUUAUAUUCUACCAUCUUUUCUGUCCUUUCGGUAAACUCUCCCUUCUCCAAGGCCAGAAGGACUUCUAAAUUACAGGUAAGUGAAUGGCACAUUUGGUGAAAGGCAAGGGAAUGCCACCUUUUCUCUGCACUACUACCAGUCCUCUGCUCCACCUUGCCUGUUAACUGGUCCUAUCAAUUCCACAAUAUUUUCAUACCUCUUUUUUGUACAUAUCCUUUUCAUCCUUUUAUUUUAGUCAAAUAUGCAGAUGGACCAGACUAAGAUUUCUCUCUAAAGUGCCAACUCAAGUAUUUAUCAUUGUCACCUGUCUUUUAACCUACAGGAACUAAGUUUCCAACCAGAGAGUGCCACAUGUGCACCAAGCAGUGUGUGAAAACCAAGUAACUAAUAUGUCUCACAAUGCAUAAUGCAUUAUGUAUGUUUAUAUAUCAUAUGACAUAAAAUUAUUUAUUUAUAUAUUAUUUUCAAAUGUCUGUUUGCAGUAGGUGAAGCAAUCUGUGACAAGUUCAAACUUCUAUGUUCGAGGUGGGAAUUGCAAAUCAUCUUGGAGCAGAGUUCGUUAAUUAUGGGAGGGUUUACUUGUGUGAUUCUUUUUUGUUAAGCACUUGUAAGGCAAGAAAAUCCUAUUGUCCUGGAGAAUCUUGUAAUAGAAACUCCUUGGCACCUGGCCUCUUGGUUUUCAGAGUUAGUCUUUCAGGAGAAGGAUAACCAGAAGCCAGAUAUGUCCUCACAUAGGAGAAGGGGUUGAGAGGGUUCUCUGGGUCUCUUUUAUAAGGUUACUAAUCCCAUCAUGAGGACCCACAUGAACUGAUUACCUCUCAAAGACCCCACCCCCAAAUACUAUUAUUUUGGGGAUUAGGUUUCAACAUGUGGGUAUUGGGGGGAUACAAACUUUCAGUCUAUAACACAGUCCAAAUCUAGCUGAUGAUAAAAGAACAAAAGCACCAGAGGGGUCCUCGCUAUGAGGGAAAUGGCUGGGGUCUUGGUCUCAGUAUGGAUCCAGGUGGUUUUAUGGGAGGUUGGAGCCAGCGCACCACGUCUGAGCCAGGAUGUACCCGCAAGUCUUGCCACCCUUUGGGAAGGAAUGACUGAAUAUAUUAUGAGUCUUAUCUGGGGACCUUCAGAAAUGCUGACAGGAAACAGACCAGCAAAGUCAUCACUGCGCAGUAAGUUAGUGGCCUCUGUACCACAGGAUUAGCAGCCAUUCAAUAGCAAUAUGGCAAUCACCAUGAACUGACAGCCUUUCACAGUUCUGUUUCCACCUGGUGUUUAGAAGAAGGAAUUGAUACACUUUCUUCUCAGUAAACCCUAGGACUAUUUAGUAGGAUUUAGAAGAUGUUUGCUAAUGGACACCUAGGGUAAUUUAAUGGAUAAUUGAAAAAACAAAAGAGAUAUGUGAUUCUGUUUAUAUACCAAGCUUGUAAAAUGGGUCACACUACUUGCAUAUGGAUAUUACCAUGAUUCCCAAUAGUCACCAUUAUGAAUUCAGAGUAGUCUUUGACAUUUUGUAUUUUGUUAAUUGACAGAUACCAUGUGGGAGUUUGGAAAGUUAUUUAAUAUCAAAAAAGGGACUCCUGAUUCUAAAAAGCAUUACUGAAUUGAGGGGGAAAAAACCCUCUUAGGGUUCAAGUGAGCCUAUCCCUUGUUCCUACUGAUCAAAACUCUUAAGAAACACCAAAAAGACUGUGAUUAAAUCUGAGGACAGUCAUGAAAAGUCUAGAGUGCAUUUCACACCUGGGAUAGGAAGCAAUCCUACUUGAAACAAUCAGUGAGAACUUUCUAGUCUUUAAAGCACUUGGAAGAAUAGAAAGAGGUCAUAAGUAGCCAGGUGUAUUAAUUUGCUAGGGCUGUCAUAACAAGAUACCACACACUGAGUGCCUCAAACAAGAGAAAUGUAUUUUCUCAGUUCUGGAGGCUGAAAUUCCAAGAUCAAAGUGUUUGCAGAGCUGGUUUCUUCUGAAGCCUCUCUUUUUGGCUUGAAGAAUCCUUUCACUACAUAUUUACAUGGUCAUUUCUCAUUUUGCACUGUGUCCUAAUCUUUUUUAUAAGGAUACCAGUCAUAUUGAAAUACAACCGCAUGACCUCAUUUUACCUUAAUUGCCUCUUUAGAGAAACUGUCUCCACAUACAGUCACAUUCUGAGGUUACUAGGGGUUAGGAAUUCAAUUUGUGAGAUUGUGGGACACACAGUUCAGCAUGCAACACCAGGUGAGACUGAGAGGGAUCCCCGAAAGGGUGGCUGCUGCAUAAAUGGCUGGAUCCCUGGCUCUUCCUCUUCUUUGGAUGUGGUGCUAUGGUCUUAACUCCUAACAGCCCUCAAGUCCCUGAAAUUCUAGCUUAUAUAAAGUUGGGAAAAGGAAGUUCAGCUCUUAUUGAAUGAUGAAGAACAAGGAUGCCUGGAGGUGCAAGAGUGUCACUGAUAUGUGGGAGUUUAGAUUCAUGCACCCAGAGUUGGAAGUGGAAAUCAGUGUCAAUGCAGAAACAUCUUUCUAUGUCACGGUCAGUUGCUUUUAGGUGAUCCGUUUUCUGUUUCAGGGAUGUCAUUGGUUAAAACAGCUUUCCUGAUCAGGCUGAGUAUUUCCCAAAAUAAUGUGGUCUAUUUGUUUGCUAAUGGUAAAACAGAGAAUAUUAAUUAUAACCUAGUCAUACAGAGAGUCUUUCUAAACAACCCCUUUUCCUCCUCAGGGCCUAUCAUGGUGAUUCUUAAAUAUGUUUUCAUUGAUUAGUUUUUGGUUCACUGAAUUUUACAGAACACCUUCAGGCUUCCUCAAGCUGUGCCUAAAUAUUUCUUGAGGAUGAUCAAGUUAUACAGAACACAGGACUGACUCUAUGUACUUUCUGCUGUUGUGUUUUAAUUCCAAUGGUCAUGACUGGGAUCAAGUAGACAGAAUAGAGAUAUAAUUGACAUAUCAGAUUCAUGAAUUCAUGCAAGAAUCCUUACAAGAAAGUGAUUACACAUUUUUCUUUAACAGAAACAGCUGGUGUCAAUGAUGCAGAUAGCUGAAGUUUUAUUUGGAUGACAGCAGUUGGUAUAACAACUCUCCUGCUGCUUACAUUUAAAACACCCCAAACAGACACAUGCCACUGAGUGGAGAGCACAGCUCAAGUGUUCCAAUGUGGGACGUAAACCCUAGUCUGGCCUGGGACACUGGAGGCGGGAGCACUGUGAAGGCACUCUUCUUGGAUAGCACUUUACAAGUCUGGAUUUUUUUUCUUAACUGAAUCCUCCCAUGGUGUAUCCAUUUCCAUGUGGACCUUGUGAGUUUUAAAUUAAAAUGAUCACUGUCUUUCAUUUUUACUGAAGGAAGUACAAGAGAUAAUGGGCCCCAAAAUCUGAAAUGAAGGUUGAGCCUGUCCCUAUAAUGAACGUUUUUUAAAAUAUUGAAUAUUUUCAAUUUAGUUAGAGCCAAAAGUGUUUUUCUUAAGUUUCUUGGGGAAAUUAAUUUUUAUAAAGGAUUGAGUGAUUCACAGGCCAGAAUAAAAGCUUUAGGUAUUAAAAAAAUAAAGCACACUUCCUCCUGGUGCUUCUAUGGACCUCUUUAAGCAGGAGGAGAAUUAAUAAUGAUAAUGCCAUAACUACCAUUGCCUAUUUGCAAUCUGCUAGGUGUUUUGCAUACAUUAUUUAAUUUUUACAACUCUCUAUGGGCCUAUUCUUAGCUUCAUUUUCAUAUUUAGAAAGCUGAGGAUCAGAGAGGUUAAAUAACUUCCCUACAGUUACAGAGCUAAUGCAGUGAAGCAGGAAUUUGAAGUCAGUCUGGCUGGCUCCAAAACUGCUCCUUUUAACACUGCCCUUAAUUAUUGUACUAUAAGGUCAUAGAUUAC